UCCACCUGCCAGGUUCAAGCAGUUCUGCCUCAGCCUCCCGAGUAGCUGGGACUACAGGUGUGCACCACCACGCCUGGCUAAUUUUUGUAUUUUUAGUAGAGACAGUUUCGCCAUGUUGGCCAGGCUGGUCUCAAACUCCUGACCUCAGGUGAUCAGCCUGCCUCAGCCUUACAAAGUGCUGGGAUUACAGGCGCGAAGCCACCGCGCCCGGCCCCCACCACUGUGUUUAAUUCUAACCAAGGAGAAGAGGAAGUUCUGAAAGGAGAACAAGGAGAUCUGAGAACACGGCUCGGGCCUGGCCAGGGGCCUCUCAGAGGAAAGCUCUCCCUGUUGCGUCCCUCCACGCCAGGGCCUGCGUGGAGUGGGCACGGUUUUUGAUACCUGCCUUGCUGACCUUCAGCUCCAAUUUCUUCAUCUGAAAGUGAGGAUAAAAGAAUUAACCCCUCUUUCUAGUCAGAUGCCUGCUAGAUCCAUUUACCUGCUUGAAUUUGAGAUGUAUUGCCAGGAUACACCUCCACAGUCUGAUGGAACACACUGAAGAUAUCUGAACAACAAAAGGCAGAUUCCUUUCAAUCAUCUGAGUGAGCCCAGUGCAAUCUGAAGAGUCCCUACAGGUGGAAGAGGCAGGGGCCAGGAUCCAAGGAGCACCACAGCCUCUGGAAGCCGGGCAAGGAAGUGGACACCCCGGGAGCCUCCAGCAGGAAGGAAGCCCCGCGGACGCCCUAACUUCAGCUCAGCAGACCUGGUCAGAUUUCCGGCCUGCAGCUCUGUUAAGGGGAGACGUUUGUGUUGUUUGAGGCCACCGAGCCUGGUCAUCUGCGCCGGCAGCCGCAGGAGCCCAGGCCACCAUCCCCACGAGGGCGUUGUCCAGCUUAGUGGCGUCCA
rnacentral:lncRNA from 1 species